rnacentral:miRNA from 1 species
AGUAAUUUCCAGAUAAACGUA